UACGGAGGGGGCUAGCGUUGUUCGGAAUUACUGGGCGUAAAGGGCUUGUAGGUGGCCAACUAAGUCAGACGUGAAAUCCCACGGCUUAACCGGGGAACUGCGUCUGAUACUGGAUGGCUUGAGUGUGGGAGAGGGAUGCGGAAUUCCAGGUGUAGCGGUGAAAUGCGUAGAUAUCUGGAGGAACACCGGUGGCGAAGGCGGCAUCCUGGACCAUGACUGACACUGAAAAGCGAAAGCCAGGGGAGCAAACGGG
rnacentral:rRNA from 1 species